rnacentral:rRNA from 1 species
AUGCUAGUCGCACGGGUUUAGACCCGUGGCGAAAAGCUCAGUAACACGUGGCCAAGCUACCCUGUGGACCGGAAUAACCUCGGGAAACUGAGGACAAUUCCGGGUACCGCUCCCUCACUGGAACGUGGGGAGCACGAAACGUUUCGGCGCCACAGGAUGCGGCUGCGGCCGAUUAGGUUGACGGUGGGGUAACGGCCCACCGUGCCCAUAAUCGGUACGGGUUGUGAGAGCAAGAGCCCGGAGACGGAAUCUGAGACAAGAUUCCGGGCCCUACGGGGCGCAGCAGGCGCGAAACCUUUACACUGCACGACAGUGCGAUAGGGGGACUCCGAGUGCGAGGGCAUAGAGCCCUCGCUUUUCUGUACCGUAAGGUGGUACAGGAAGAAGGGCUGGGCAAGACCGGUGCCAGCCGCCGCGGUAAUACCGGCAGCCCAAGUGAUGGCCGAUAUUAUUGGGCCUAAAGCGUCCGUAGCUGGCCGGACAAGUCCGUUGGGAAAUCCGCAUGCUUAACGUGCGGGCGUCCAGCGGAAACUGUCCGGCUUGGGACCGGAAGACCCGAGGGGUACGUCCGGGGUAGGA